AAUGAACGUUGGCGGCGUGGAUUAGGCAUGCAAGUCGCGCGAUUUCCUUCGGGGAAGAGCGGCGGAAGGGAGAGUAACGCGUAGAUACCUACCCUCGGGACCGGAAUAGCGACGGGAAACUGUCGGUAAUGCCGGAUAACGUCCCUGGACCAAAGGUGUGAAUCCGCCUGAGGAGGGGUCUGCGUCCUAUUAGCUAGUCGGCGGGGUAACGGCCCACCGAGGCGAAGAUGGGUACCGGGCGUGAGAGCGUGACCCGGCUCACUGGGACUGAGACACUGCCCAGACACCUACGGGUGGCUGCAGUCGAGAAUCUUCGGCAAUGAGCGAAAGCUUGACCGAGCGACGCCGCGUGCGGGAUGAAGGCUUUCGUGUUGUAAACCGCUGUCAGUGGGGAGGAAAUUCUUGGGGGUACUCCCCCUUGAUUGACCGAUCCGCAGAGGAAGGACGGGCUAAGUUCGUGCCAGCAGCCGCCGUAACAC
rnacentral:rRNA from 1 species